UACGUAGGGGGCGAGCGUUGUCCGGAGUUACUGGGCGUAAAGCGCACGCAGGCGGUCUGCUAAGUUUGGAGUGACAGUUGGUGGCUCAACCACCAAAGUGCUUCGAAAACUGACAGACUUGAGGACUUCAGAGGGACACGGAAUUCCGGGUGGAGUGGUGAAAUGCGUAGAGAUCCGGAGGAACACCGAAGGCGAAGGCAGUGUCCUGGGGAGUACCUGACGCUCAGGUGCGAAAGCUAGGGGAGCGAACGGGAUUAGAUACCCCGGUAGUCCUAGCCGUAAACGAUGACCACUAGAUGUAUGGGGUAUCGACCCCCUAUGUGUCGUAAGCAAACGCGAUAAGUGGUCCGCCUGGGGAGUACGGUCGCAAGAUUAAA
rnacentral:rRNA from 1 species